UUAAGUGGCUAUCCGUACACCAGGUACACCCACCGACCUGCAGUGCAGACUGGAUAUGAGUGCGUUUGCAUACCAUGCCUUCGUUAUUAUUAUUAUUUUUUUGUAAACUGUCACCAAUAUCGAGACGGACACAAAGCUGGCGAGCGACAGAAUAUGGACAAGUGCAAGACGCACUAUUCUCACGCUAUCUAUUAGCCGACUGCGGCGUGCAGACCCUCGUCCGGAAUCAUUCCUGUUCGUUCAGGAGUCACUCAGUGGCACGGCAGAGAAAGCCACGAGCGAUGCGGAUGGCGUAGCAAAUCUGCUGAAGGAGGCAGUAUGAAACCCCGUCCAGCCUUCAAGUUAAGCCAAAGCUAGUGGCUGAUUCUCGGCCUACACACCUACGACAGCAAAUAACUUGAAGAAGAGGUAGUGGAACCACCGUCGUCUUUUGAAAAGGACCCAAUACCAGGAUCAAUGGUACGUACUCUACUUUGCCGAGCACCCGGUCCGACAGGAAGACGCUUGCCAACUUGGCGUGGCACUGCUGCCAAGUCAGACUAUCGCUUUGUCAUGUAAUGUAUCAGAGAGGCUGGAACACUGAAACCGUCAAGUUGGAGGAGCUUUGAGAACUGCAAUAGAGUAUACCGAAAUUAUCAGUAAGUUGGUGAAAUCAAGGACUAGCUGUGCACUCCACUGGUCUGGCAUGGUGCUGUUGCUGCUACAGUGUAGUAGUGGCGUACUGCACUGCGGUGGUUAGGCUAACAGGGUGAUCCUGCUAGUUGUGUACUGCACUGCGCUGGUUAGGCUAACGUGGAGAUCCUGCUCAAGACCGGUGCGCUCUUGCUAGCCUCCAUGUUGCUGUUGUUCCCGGUCUGGGAAUCAGCUAACAGUUAUCAGCUAUGCGUGGUGAUCAUGCGUAUCAGCACGGAGUUGUGUGACAAAAGCAGUGGCAUUGUCAGCAGUGUGGUACUUGUCCACUGGUUUAUUUGAGUGCAGACGGUGUGUGUGGUACUUACAUGUGCCGGAUCAUGGACUAUCAGUAACACAUCCAGCACCUUGGACAAUCAGUUUGUUGUUGGUCAGUUGGUUUGUCAUUGUCUAUACCGCCAGUCAUUAUGAAGACUGCUUGCUUUGUUUGCCGUCACUGUGCAAUUCACUGUGCACCUUACAGUUCUGCAUCUUCUACUUACAUUAGAUACAUGUAGGUGCUUGUGUGUCAUAUCUACUAGAUGUUCUGAUUUUGUCAAGUGAUUCUUGCCCCCCCCCCCCCACCC